rnacentral:rRNA from 1 species
UACGGAGGAUGCAAGCGUUAUCCGGAUUUAUUGGGUUUAAAGGGUGCGCAGGUUGUUUGAUAAGUCAGUGGUGAAAGUCUGUCGCUUAACGGUAGGAUUGCCAUUGAUACUGUUGGACUUGAAUAUGGAUGAGGUAGGCGGAAUGUGUAGUGUAGCGGUGAAAUGCAUAGAUAUUACACAGAACACCGAUUGCGAAGGCAGCUUACUAACCCAUCAUUGACGCUGAGGCACGAAAGCGUGGGGAUCAAACAGGA